GUGUCAGCAGCCGCGGUAAUACGGAGGGUGCAAGCGUUAUCCGGAUUCACUGGGUUUAAAGGGUGCGUAGGCGGGCAGGUAAGUCCGUGGUGAAAUCUCUGAGCUUAACUCAGAAACUGCCAUGGAUACUAUUUGUCUUGAAUGUUGUGGAGGUAAGCGGAAUAUGUCAUGUAGCGGUGAAAUGCUUAGAUAUGACAUAGAACACCAAUUGCGAAGGCAGCUUACUACACAAAUAUUGACGCUGAGGCACGAAAGCGUGGGGAUCAAACAGGAUUAGAUACCCUAGUAGUCC
rnacentral:rRNA from 1 species